rnacentral:tRNA from 1 species
ACCUGGUUGGCUCAGUUGAUAGAGCAUGUGGCCCUUGAUCUCAGAGUCGUGAAUUCAAGUCCCACACUGGGCA